rnacentral:rRNA from 1 species
CCUACGGGAGGCAGCAGCUAAGAAUCUUCCGCAAUGGGGGAAACCCUGACGGAGCGACGCCGCGUGGACGAUGAAGGCCGUAAGGUUGUAAAGUCCUUUUGCAGGAGAAGAAUAAGCGGGGGAGUGGAAAGCCCUCGUGAUGACGUUAGCCGACGAAUAAGCCCCGGCUAAUUACGUGCC